GGGUCAGUAGGUUGGUCGUGCCACCGGUACGUACUGGUCUCACUGAUUCCUCCUUCCUGAAGAACCUUAAUGCCAUUAAUUUGGUGUUGCGGGGAAACAGGACUGUUACUUUGAAAAAAUUAGAGUGUUUAAAGCAAGCGAACGCUUGAAUACAUUAGCAUGGAAUAAUGAAAUAGGACGAUCGAUCCUAUUUUGUUGGUUUCUAGGAUUGACGUA
rnacentral:rRNA from 1 species